rnacentral:pre_miRNA from 1 species
UGAAUUAAGUGGAGAAGUAGUCUGUUCACUAUAUUUAUUAAAUAUAAUAAAAUAUUUUGCAAAUACGCACAAAGUGAGAUUCAACUCCUCCAACUUAAUUCA